rnacentral:misc_RNA from 1 species
UCGUUGCCUUUCCAAAACACGACCGUCGAACACGUGACAAAACGCUGUCGCGGGGGUGCUUGCUGCCUCCUCGGCCCCACCGGCCUCAACCCUCUCGCCCUCGGGCGCGUUGGUUGCUGGUUGGAAUACGGCGCGGGAUGACGCCAAGGAACACGAGAAAGCUGAGGCACCGGCGAGCUGCACAAGGGCUCUGUCGGUUGCCAAGGCCAACAAAAAA